GAGAGAGAUGGUGAGUGGAGACGACGAUGGGAGCAGCGACUAACAAAAACUCUGUACAGCCUUCAAGUGUUUACUGGCGCUAUUAAAGUUGACUUCCAAGCACCCCUGUGCCACCUUGUGGUUCAUGUUCGAGGCGAUUGAGGGAGUUAACCCCGAAGUAACUUCGCUUCGGCCCUGGAGGAAAAUCUCCCCUGUGUCUUCCGACUACGGCUCUGAAGCAAAUGCAGCCUGGCGUAUCCUCUUCAGUCAAUGGCACCCUCUGGCUUCUCAGCUGGCCAUCAACAGCAGGACGCAGGUAAUCAGCUGCAUGUGUUAACCCAUCCACAAACUGAACAGCAACAUGAAACCUCCUCUACGCUACCUACCACUGAAGACCUCGGUGUUUGCUGGCAAUGCAUGCCAGCCGCAUACUAAUGCUACACUCUAAUCGCUGAUCGAUCCUUCUUGUG